rnacentral:rRNA from 1 species
UCCGUAGGUGAACCUGCGGAGGGAUCAUUGCUGAACGCGCCCCUGGCGCACCCAGAAACCCUUUGUGAACUUAUACCUUACUGUUGCCUCGGCGCAGGCCGGCCCCCACGGGGGUCCCUCUGGAGACGGAGGAGCAGCCGGCCGGUGGCCAAGUUAACCCUGUUUUUACACUGAAACUCUGAGCACAAAACAUAAAUGAAUCAAAACUUUCAACAACGGAUCUCUUGGUUCUGGCAUCGAUGAAGAACGCAGCGAAAUGCGAUAAGUAAUGUGAAUUGCAGAAUUCAGUGAAUCAUCGAAUCUUUGAACGCACAUUGCGCCCUCUGGUAUUCCGGAGGGCAUGCCUGUUCGAGCGUCAUUUCAACCCUCAAGCCUGGCUUGGUGCUGGGGCACUGCUCCCCCCCGCGGGGAGCAGGCCCUGAAAUACAGUGGCGAGCUCGCCAGGACUCCGAGCGCAGUAGUUAAACCCUCGCUCUGGAAGGCCUGGCGGUGCCCUGCCGUUAAACCCCAACUUCUGAAAAUUUGACCUCGGAUCAGGUAGGAAUACCCGCUGAACUUAAGCAUAUCAAUAAGCGGAGGA